rnacentral:rRNA from 1 species
GACGAACGCUGGCGGCGUGCCUAAUACAUGCAAGUCGAACAAACUCUGGUAUUGAUUGGUGCUUGCAUCAUGAUUUACAUUUGAGUGAGUGGCGAACUGGUGAGUAACACGUGGGAAACCUGCCCAGAAGCGGGGGAUAACACCUGGAAACAGAUGCUAAUACCGCAUAACAACUUGGACCGCAUGGUCCGAGUUUGAAAGAUGGCUUCGGCUAUCACUUUUGGAUGGUCCCGCGGCGUAUUAGCUAGAUGGUGGGGUAACGGCUCACCAUGGCAAUGAUACGUAGCCGACCUGAGAGGGUAAUCGGCCACAUUGGGACUGAGACACGGCCCAAACUCCUACGGGAGGCAGCAGUAGGGAAUCUUCCACAAUGGACGAAAGUCUGAUGGAGCAACGCCGCGUGAGUGAAGAAGGGUUUCGGCUCGUAAAACUCUGUUGUUAAAGAAGAACAUAUCUGAGAGUAACUGUUCAGGUAUUGACGGUAUUUAACCAGAAAGCCACGGCUAACUACGUGCCAGCAGCCGCGGUAAUACGUAGGUGGCAAGCGUUGUCCGGAUUUAUUGGGCGUAAAGCGAGCGCAGGCGGUUUUUUAAGUCUGAUGUGAAAGCCUUCGGCUCAACCGAAGAAGUGCAUCGGAAACUGGGAAACUUGAGUGCAGAAGAGGACAGUGGAACUCCAUGUGUAGCGGUGAAAUGCGUAGAUAUAUGGAAGAACACCAGUGGCGAAGGCGGCUGUCUGGUCUGUAACUGACGCUGAGGCUCGAAAGUAUGGGUAGCAAACAGGAUUAGAUACCCUGGUAGUCCAUACCGUAAACGAUGAAUGCUAAGUGUUGGAGGGUUUCCGCCUUUCAGUGCUGCAGCUAACGCAUUAAGCAUUCCGCCUGGGGAGUACGGCCGCAAGGCUGAGACUCAAAGGAAUUGACGGGGGCCCGCACAAGCGGUGGAGCAUGUGGUUUAAUUCGAAGCUACGCGAAGAACCUUACCAGGUCUUGACAUACUAUGCAAAUCUAAGAGAUUAGACGUUCCCUUCGGGGACAUGGAUACAGGUGGUGCAUGGUUGUCGUCAGCUCGUGUCGUGAGAUGUUGGGUUAAGUCCCGCAACGAGCGCAACCCUUAUUAUCAGUUGCCAGCAUUAAGUUGGGCACUCUGGUGAGACUGCCGGUGACAAACCGGAGGAAGGUGGGGAUGACGUCAAAUCAUCAUGCCCCUUAUGACCUGGGCUACACACGUGCUACAAUGGAUGGUACAACGAGUUGCGAACUCGCGAGAGUAAGCUAAUCUCUUAAAGCCAUUCUCAGUUCGGAUUGUAGGCUGCAACUCGCCUACAUGAAGUCGGAAUCGCUAGUAAUCGCGGAUCAGCAUGCCGCGGUGAAUACGUUCCCGGGCCUUGUACACACCGCCCGUCACACCAUGAGAGUUUGUAACACCCAAAGUCGGUGGGGUAACCUUUUAGGAACCAGCCGCCUAAGGUGGGACAGAUGAUUAGGGUG